CCAGAAAAAUAUUCAAGGGAUGAGUCAUGGGCAGAGCACUCCAGGGAAGUGGGGAGCAAGUGCAAAGGUUAGAGUCUACCGAGCAAAGGAGAAGGUGAGCAAACAGAGGCGAGAGAGGCCAGAUCAAGGAAGGCAUCUGGCGUUUAUCCUGAAGGAAACAGGAAGCACUGAAAAAGGAUGGGAUCCAAGUCACCUUUCUAGGCAAUACAGAAGAUAUGGGUGGGAAUCUGCCCGUGUCAGAGAUGGGACUAAGGAAGACCCUGAAAUCUGGUCUUGACUUCAGGACAAUGCUGGAGGAACCCACGCAUCAGAUAUAUUUCUUCUAAAGGCGAGACGGCCAAGACCUGUACCCACCCAGCUGACUCCAGGGAACCCAAUCCUAUCCUCCUUUGAGUGCUCACCUCCAACCUCAGCACCAGAGGAUGUGACGGGAAUGAAAUGACAUCGGCUCCACUUGCCCAAAGGAACAUCUGCACCCGUAACCUGGCAUCCUGAUCAGCCUCAGUGUCAUCUGCCACCCCAGCUGCUCGGGUAUGACUCUGGCACAGGCCUCCCAAAUGGAGGCUCCACGAGUAUCACUUGGAUGGUGGUGAGGCUUGUCAGACAUCCCUGGAGAGCACGGGCCUGGUUGAGCAGAUACUGUGCCAAGGAGAAGCACGUGCCACUGAGGAAAGAGACUUCUUCAGGUAAAGGACACAGCCCCCAGAACUGCAGGGAUCCCCAGGAACAUGGAGGCCUCACACCCCUACCCUGCAGGUCCCUUCCUUGUCAUCCUUCCUUUACACUGCGCCCCAACCUGCCUCUCCAUAGCUGGUGCCCCAUAGCAUGGGUCCUGGGCCCAUCCUCCAUGGUGUGUCAUGGCUGUCCCAGGCAACCUACCCAUGGGCCAGUCUGAUUUGGGAGGCUGGGUUCCUCUGUGGCCACAGAACCAACCAUCCCUUGGAGGCUGCCACAGUGGAGCUGGAGCAAUAGCUGCCUUGCCUCUAAAAGCAAGACCAUUUAGCACCAGCUAAAAUGGCAGUCUAGACAGAGAGCUCCCACGGGCGGCUUCCACAGGGUGUGUGGACAGGGACAGGCCAGCCAUUGUGCUGGACUGGCUGGAAGUGCAGCAGUGACAGGCAGAUGAGCCACGCCUCCUGUUUACCACCAGCACCUGUUCUGACUGGUCAGAGGUCAUGCCUACCAUUAGUUAGUGGUCCCAUCUCCUCUGCGAGAAGCUUGGGUUUGGCAGCCAGGAGGCUCUACCCCUCGCACCAUCACACAUCAGCUGUGUGGCAGGAUCUAGAUCAUAUCAUCUUAGUCUCCUUCUCUGUAAAGCAGAGAAAAUAUAAUACAUGCCCCAUAGCACUGCUGAGAAUUUGCUGCAGACUCAUGUAUGCAAAGUGUUUAGUCCAAUGUCCAGAACAUAUAAAGUGCUCACUAAAUAGAACUCUGUUAGUGUUACUCCUGCUCAGCCUGCAGAAUGACCUCGAAAAGGAGGAGCAUGAAGACUUUUGGCAGGUGCCGUUUGGAUUAUACCCCACCCAGGCUUUUUUGCACCUUUGCAAAAAACACCUCUUUCCAGACGACUGACUUUGCAAACAAAGUCAGCUCCACCCUAAAAUUGCAGGGCCUGAGAUGGGGAGAUCUCUUCUGUGGGCAACUCUCAAACCCAUGAUCUUGGCUAUGUUAGCAGCCAGAUGCCAAGGCCUAUUAUAGGUUGUCACCCUAACCCUGACUUUGGUCGUUGGCUGCCACAGGACCCUCUCAGUGGCCCAGAUCUUCAUGUCUCAGAAGCAGGGCAGGGGGUUAAAUCUGUUGUGACAGAUGUCACAGAUGUUAACAUAUAAAUGAGUAAAUGAAUCCAAGGCACAGGCUAACAUGGACACCAGUUUCCCAUGUAUAGUAGCAGGCUCCCUCAGUUACAGAAUCAUGUCAAUACUCAUUUGUCAACCUAGUAGUGUUAACAAUCUUUUCCUUAUGUAUGGUACCAUAUCACUUCCUCUACCUGGAUUGUCAGUGAAAAUUUCAGAGGCUAGGAAUUAGAGUAGAUCCCUGAUAGCACAAGGGUGACUGAUGUCCCAAUCUUCACACACAAACCCAAAGCUGGCAAUGUCCCUAAAGCACAUCAUUCCCUCCACAAAAUACAAUCAUGUGUAACUGAAAAUACUACAGACCCUUCCAGACUUCUGAUGGGAUGUACUGUGUAUUCAACAUUGAGUAAAGAAAAACAAAGCUACAUCGGGAUGUGGGUGCUGGACAGCACACUGGGCUCACUCACUGGCUCAGGGAUGCUCACCUGCAUGCCUGCCAUCGAGUCCAGCCUCAGCCAAAUGACAAGUCACUGCUCAUCCUUUGCCGUCACUCACAAAUCAUGAAACCUCUCAUGUGAAACCCACAAGACUUAAAGGUGUACUUCAUCAUUCCCAUCUUACAAUGAAGAAACCAAGGCACCAGCCUUUGUAACUUUCUUGAAUCCUGUGGUUAAAGAAGGGAUUCCAACCUCAAUCUAAUGCUCUCUAUGCACCUCUCAAAAUAAUGACUCCUGCAACCCACACCCUAAGCUGUCUUGACUGGUACAAGCAGGAUGGCAGUGGGCAGGGUCUACCUCUUUUGCGAUCCAAAGCCCAAAAUCCAGCCACGCCUAGACUGUUCCAGGCAGUGAAUCCUGUGAAUAAGAGCCACAGGCUUGCCCACACCCUCUAAAUGUAUCCAGCCACCCAACUGGGCCACCACCUCUGGUCCUGACUUGCAAUAACCUACCCUCUGGGCUGUACCCCACCCCUGGCUCUAAGCCAGCAUUAAAUUCAUUAAAACUAGCCAUCAUGCUGCCUAUAACCUGAGGCCAUCCCUUUUAAGAAGAUCCUAGUAUGCUUUACAGAGUGACACGAAGUAACUGGACAGCCACUCCAUUCGUCCAUCACUUGCCUCUUGUUUUAUUUAGUCCUCCUGUGGCAGGUGCAGUUGUGGACCAGCUUCCAGCUCACCAGCACCCACAAGACCCUGACUCCUUUCUCCUCAGUAGGCAGCACCAGACUCUUACGUGGUGCCCACAGCAGUCUUUGCUCCUGCCAAGUCCCUGACUAUACCAUCCCGAACUUCAGGAUGCCACCAAAGCCCUGGCAACUUACUCCAGCCUUCAUUCCAGUGGUCCCUGAAGCUGCUGCUCCUCCUCCACUAUUGACCCAUUCUGUCCAUGCCUCGGGGAAGCUCCCCUUACAUCUUCCACUUCCUUCCCAAAGCUGGAGUGCAUUUCUGGGGACUUCCCACCAACCCAGCCAGCUAAGCAGUCUAGCCUGGCUGCCAUGGCCAACUUGUUGCAAAAUGAUUUCUGAGAAUGUAAGGAGGCCUCUGGAGGUUGUGAUGCAGCUGACAGUUCCACGCACAGGCACGCAGCGACCAUAGCACCCAGCUCCGAGGGGACCAGAGGCAGCCCCUUGGCUCCCAGCACUGCCCAGCCCUCAAGGGCGCCCACGGGGGCUGACAUUCAUGGGCAUGGGACAGAGCAGGAGAGGCACACAGGGAAAGUGGGGCAAGGAGAGGAGAAAGUACAAGUGACCUCAAUCCUUGAGCUGGGCAUUUCGCAACAGCCAGCCCUCUCCCGGCCCGGCCCAUACCCGCACUCUCCUGGGGAAGCUGCCAGGCUUUUACAUUUGUGUAGAGACAACCUCCCCGCCAAGCCUCCCACUAGCAAUCCUGCCUUGACGUCAAACUCAGAGUCGGGGAACUUCAAACACAAACAAACAAGUCUAACCCAGACCACAAGUGGAGAUAUUCCCAAGGAGGCCAGGGGUGAGAACGGCCACAGCUGGGAGCUCAGGGCCUCCUACCCUUCCCUAUGCUCCACUGGGAAUGCAAAGUCUGAGGACCUGACAACAGACUGUAGAUGGGAGAUUCAACCCCAGGCUGAGACAAAACGAGCUCACUUGUCUAAGAGUAUGACUGACUGCCUUUGGCUGGUGCAGCAGUGGGUGCAGGAGACCCUGUAUGGAAGCACUGAUGAGUUAGCUCCUCUGUGCAACUAAGCACCCACCUUAGAUAAAUCACAUAAAUCACCUGUUCCCACUGCUCCAGUACUAAGCAUGAGCAGUCAGGGAAAGAAGACUAUGAGGUCAACUAUGGUUUAAAAGCACCCAUGAUGCUUCCUGGGAAAUGCAAAGCUUGAGCUGGGCCAGAGUGAAUGGCCAAGGGCCCGAGUUUUCUCAGCAACAACUGCUAGGCCAUUUUAUGUGCCACGGAGGUUGUGAGAUGCAGCAGAACCAAAGAGGAAGGCAUUUCCCUGACCUAACAGCCUAAUACAGCUCCCACCUGCAAAGCCAAGGUGAGUCAAAACACUGCUCUUCAGAAAGCAAUUAUUUGAAAAGUCAGUAAAUGAUCUGUCUUGAUCUGCCUUUCAA